rnacentral:rRNA from 1 species
GACGAACGCUGGCGGCGUGCUUAACACAUGCAAGUCGAGCGGCGCGGCGAACGGGUGAGUAACGCGUGAGUAACUGCCCCCCUCUCUGGGAUAACAGUUGGAAACGGCUGCUAAUACCGGAUAGUGGGGGAUGACUCGCGUCCUAUCGGCUUGUUGGUGGGGUAGGGGCCUCCCAAGGCGAAGACGGGUAGCCGGCCUGAGAGGGCGACCGGCCACAAUGGGCUGAGAGACGGCCCAAACUCCUACGGGGGGCGGCAGGGGGGAAUAUUGCACAAUGGGGGAAAGCCUGAGGCAGAAACGCCGCGGGCGGGAUGACGGCCUUCGGGGUGUAAACCGCUUUCAGCCAUGACGCGGUAGUGGCAGAAGAAGCACCGGCUAACUACGUGCCAGCCGCCGCGGUAAUAC